AGAGCGAACGCUGGCGGCAGGCCUAAUACAUGCAAGUCGAACGGCUCUUCGGAGCAGUGGCGGACGGGUGAGUAACGCGUGGGAACGUGCCCUUUGGUUCGGAACAACACAGGGAAACUUGUGCUAAUACCGAAUGUGCCCUUCGGGGGAAAGAUUUAUCGCCAUUGGAGCGGCCCGCGUUGGAUUAGCUAGUUGGUGGGGUAAUGGCCCACCAAGGCUACGAUCCAUAGCUGGUCUGAGAGGAUGAUCAGCCACACUGGGACUGAGACACGGCCCAGACUCCUACGGGAGGCAGCAGUAGGGAAUCUUGCGCAAUGGGCGAAAAGCCUGACGCAGCCAUGCCGCGUGAAUGAUGAAGGUCUUAGGAUUAUAAAAAUUCUUUCACCGGGAAGAUAAUGACGGUACCCGGAGAAGAAGACCCGGCUAACUUACGUGCCAGCAGCCGCC
rnacentral:rRNA from 1 species